AGGGACAUCAGACAGAGCUACAACCAGUGAGGGACAAAAGUGAGGCAGCUGCUGAAGAGGUACUUCAUACUGUCAUUGACUGAUAUCACUAUGGUGGAGAUGCAGGUGGCUUUAGAAAUAUGCUGAAUUGGUUUGAUCCAGAGAGGCAGUUAUGCAUAAGAGCAACCACUCUCUAUUGAAUUAGGAGAUCUCUCAUGCAACACAUCUCACCAAUUACAAGGUUUCCUGUGGAAGCCAAAGGAGGGCCUCGAUUUCCUGUAACUGGAGUCCCAGAUGCAAAUCCUUGAAGAAGAGAGAACUCAUGCUGAGCUGCUUGUUUCGCAUCCCAAAAAGGACUCAGGAGGACUGUUCAUCUAUUUAGUGACAGAAUUUUCCAUGCUCAAUAAAUUCUGCUGCUUGGUAACUGAA
rnacentral:lncRNA from 1 species